CUAAGAAUAUUCCGCAAUGGACGAAAGUCUGACGGAGCGACGCCGCGUGGAUGAAGAAGGCCGAAAGGUUGUAAAGUUCUUUUGCGAGGGAAGAAUAACCGCAGGAGGGAAUGCCUGUGGGAUGACAUGAACUUGCGAAUAAGCCCCGGCCAACUACGUGCCAGCAGCCGCGGUAACACGUAGGGGGCGAGCGUUGUUCGGAAUUACUGGGCGUAAAGGGCAUGUAGGCGGUCUGGUAAGCCUGGCGUGAAAGACCACAGCUUAACUGUGGGGUUGCGCUGGGAACUGCUGGGCUUGAGUGACGGAGAGGGAGCUGGAAUUCCUGGUGUAGGGGUGAAAUCUGUAGAUAUCAGGAAGAACACCGAUGGCGAAGGCAAGCUCCUGGCCGAUGACUGACGCU
rnacentral:rRNA from 1 species